CGAAGAAUUUCUGCGGCAGUAUACUUGCUGAUUGCUUCGUUCUCACUCCUCACAACAACCAGCUAAGACACUGCCAGAGAAACACCCACAGGAGCCACGUCCAACCAUCCAUCCCUUCGCCUGCCUCGCCCCAGUAGGAUCCUGACUGUCUUUGCCGUGGCACCUCCACUGGCAGUACAACAAGUCAAGGCAUGUUCCAACACGCCACCAACAGCCGGACCUGGUGUAUGAGCCUGCUCCUAGACCAGAGGGGGAGGAGCAGAGGAUCAGAGAGGGGGGAAACCCAGAAAAAAGACCCAGCAUGACUCAGCCCGCUUCAAUCGCCUCUGUGCCCAGCGGGUGGAAGCAGUUCACAAUGUUGUCUGUCUUUCCUGGACAAUGCUAAAACCUCGGUCUUUGCUGUUUGAAACCGACAGAUGCAAGUAAAAUUAAUAUCUUAGCUACAGUCUUGCUCGUCAUUCAUACUCCUAUUAGCAAGUAAUCCAGUUUCAUCUUCA